rnacentral:rRNA from 1 species
AGUGAACGCUGGCGGUAGGCCUAACACAUGCAAGUCGAACGGCAGCACAGUAAGAGCUUGCUCUUACGGGUGGCGAGUGGCGGACGGGUGAGGAAUACAUCGGAAUCUACUUUUUCGUGGGGGAUAACGUAGGGAAACUUACGCUAAUACCGCAUACGACCUACGGGUGAAAGCAGGGGAUCUUCGGACCUUGCGCGAUUGAAUGAGCCGAUGUCGGAUUAGCUAGUUGGCGGGGUAAAGGCCCACCAAGGCGACGAUCCGUAGCUGGUCUGAGGGGAUGAUCAGCCACACUGGAACUGAGACACGGUCCAGACUCCUACGGGAGGCAGCAGUGGGGAAUAUUGGACAAUGGGCGAAAGCCUGAUCCAGCCAUGCCGCGUGGGUGAAGAAGGCCUUCGGGUUGUAAAGCCCUUUUGUUGGGAAAGAAAAGCAGCAGGUUAAUACCCCGCUGUUCUGACGGUACCAAAAGAAUAAGCACCGGCUAACUUCGUG